UGACGUAACGAGGCGUAUGAAUUUGCGCGGGUUGCCGAACCCGCGAGCCGGACGAUGAGCUAGCUAGCUUCCCGAAUAGUCGCUGCCAAAGGGCUUUUCGGUUCGACAAAACUUUCUUCUUUCUCGCUCCAUUCAAAGCGACAACAUGUCGAAGCGUGCGGCUUUCAUUAAAGCCGCUUGUAAGGAACAUGUGGACGACUUCCUUCAGCUCGUCCAACUUCACAAGGACAGAACGGAUCCUUUUGACCUUGAAGAGGUGAUGGAGGAGAUGGCAAGGGAUCAGCGUGAGGCGGUGUGGGGAGAACUAGCCUCUCUCCUUCGGGACGUCCUUCUGGAAUUGCCCCCGGAACGCUGGGACGAGGUCACGGAUGCCGAGUCUGCGGUGGAUCCCAAACGCGUGGUGGCUGCCGUGACUCUGGUGGCCACCGUAUCUCUGAAGGUCCUGCAAAAUGGCGACACCUACAACGGGCUUCUUAACAUUACCCGCCAGCUUCACGAGGUUCUGGUGUCGUCGCAUCCCAGGACGGAGGAUAACGUGCUGCCCCACAUCCAAACGCUGUGCGAGGCCUGGUGGAAGAAAGACCUGCUGAACAAAGACAAGUUUGGCCGCACCGCUUUGGUCAUCGCUUUGAACAAGAUCUUAUAUUCCAAGAAAAUGAACACUGAGCUCCAAAGAGCGUGGAGCCUACACAAGGUGGUCUCCAAUGUGAACUACGCCUCUGAGGACGGCCAGCAGCUGAGCGCGCAGCUGCUGCAGUGUUUCCGCGCCACCAGCUUCAUCCGUAACGACGACGGCAAGCGGUUCAUGGUGUUUCUCUUCAGCUGGCACGUGGAUUUCGUCCCACUCAUCCACGAAGCCAUCAAAAAUCAGCUGCAGUUCUAUAACACGGUGGCCACGGAGGACGUCGCCGAGAUCUACUUCCGCGCAUGGAAAAAGGCCAGCGGCAAGUUCCUGGAGAAGAUAGAAAGCGAGUGCAUACAGGACUUGAUGAAGUGCGCCAUACUGUUGCAGAGGUCGUCACCUCUUUGCCGCAAAGUCCGACAGAUCAUCUUCUAUUUCCACAAGAAGAAUGUCUGCCCCUCAGUGGGCAAAAUGCUCAGCGCCCUCUACAAGCCCAUUCUUUGGAAGUAUCUCAAUGUUCCUAAUUUUGAGGUCCGCACCAACGCCACAGUGCUGUUCGCAGACGCCUUCCCCAUCGUUGACCCCGAUACGGAAAUCGAAGAGGCCCUUCAAAAGCAGCUGGACAAACUCAAGGUCCUGCUGUUCGACAAGCAUGACGUGGUGCGCUGCAAUGCCAUCCAGGGCGUCUGCAAGGUCCUCGCCAGGUGCUGGGAGUUGCUCCCGUCGGUCGUUAUCGUGGACUUCCUGAAGAAGUUGGAAGAGUUGGCGGGCGACAGCAGCUCCGAUAACGUCCGCUGCGCCGUCUUUGCGUAUCUGUGCGUUGUCUUGGACAACGUGCUCAGCCACCCCGCGCUCGAGAAGCUGAUGCCCAAGUGGAAGAACAGCCUCCACGAUGCCUCGGUGAAGGUCCGCGUGGCUUUUGUCGACAUGCUCCUCAAGGUCAAGGCGGUCCGCGCGGCCAAGUUCUGGGACGUGUGCAGCCUGGACCACCUGGUGGCCCGCCUGGCCCGCGACACGCCACACGUGUCCAAGCGCCUCGCCGAACUGCUCGUGGACUCCUUUUUCCCCGCCAAAGGCAGCGACAGGGACCGGUGCAACCGCUGCGUCACCCUCAUCCAGAUGAGCCCGGCGGCGGCUCGAAAGUUCUACCUGUACGCCAGCGUGCACACGGCCCCCAAUAACAUAGUGAAGUUCAUGCUGGCCAUCCGCCAAGUUUUGAACUUGAGCAUCCGGCGCGAUGACGCCGUCGACGCCGAUCUCCAUGACAGCGACGAGGAAAACAGAGCGGGCGAGAAGCCUUUCGCGCUGGACAAGGACGUGGUGGCCACUCUGCUUGAAGUGGUGGUCAUCUUGUGGAAGAACAUCAGCAGGUCCCUCGAGCAAAACGAGGAAACCCGGACGCACGUGCACGCCCAGUUUGGUCAAGUCAUGAGCAAAUACUUGAGCCAAUUCACGGAUGAGCGCUGCCAAGUUGCCCUCAUGCAGAUGGCCUCCUUCAUGCCUUUCUCCACGGUGGCCACAUUUAGCUUCAGCGUGCUGGCCCGUCUGAGGAAGAUGGAACCCGAAGCCCCGCCCUCCGUCUACGGCCAGCUGUUGGACUGCAUGUGCAGUUGGGGCAAGACCGCCAGCGUCCUGGAGCUCCUCAUAGAGUGGCUUAGCCAAGCCCUGCCCGAGAGUCGAGGGCUUUGUUCCUCGCCGCCCCACCGGCUCAACGCCAAGCGGAAGGUAACCAUCCAGGUGACGGAGGAGGCUAAGCCGGACCUGGCGCUGGCCUACUUGGACCACCUGCUCCUUCACCCGUCUACACGAAACAAAGUCCUGGCUCUCAGUCAGGGUCCACUUAAGCAUCUCUACACUCUUCUAGGCAACUGCAAGUCAGUGCUGUCCACUCACCUCAACGCUUCCUCUGAGGGCGCAGCUGGCGCAGAGCUGGCCCUUAAGGCCUUCACCUAUCACGGCCGCCUCAGCGUGCACCUGCAACACCACCUGUCGGAGGGCCGCGAGUACCUGCAAUCUCUGGAGUACACGGCAGCGUGGCUUGGCGAGAGGGUGCUGCCCGUCCUGGCCAAAGCUCAUCAGGGGCACGGCCACGGCCAAGGGGAGGCGAACAGUUCCAGAGCGUUGGCAGCGGAGAUAAUCCAGGCCUUCCUGACCAUGUGCGGCGACGUGGUGCUCUGUUUGGACGACGACGCCUUCAACGCUCACGUCCUGCACCUCUGCUCGCUCCUCGUACGCCCAACUGAUGCCGCGAGCUACUUGUGCAUUCCCGCCAUGCUGCAGGUUCUGAAGGAGCUAAUGGCGAGUUACUCCGCGGUUGAGCGCAAAGCACCUGGAGACCAGCGGGAUGCUGCCACCAAGUGUCUGUCGGUGGUAGCAAACAUAUUCCAGAAGAUUAUAGAGCUCUUGGCCGGGCGACUUAAGAAAGAGCCCGAAGAGGGUAAACGUCUGUGCCAGUCGGCUGUCAGCGGGCUCCAGGACUUCCUUCGAGUGGCCCAAGCCUCGAAAAUCAGCGCAGUCUUUGACACCCUUUUCGCCAUUGUGGUGGUGGAAACGAGCUAUGCUCUUCAGAAGAUGACGCAGCCCGAAGAGGUGACAACUCCAGAGAAAGUGGAUGACCUGCCUAUUCUCUCCAGCACCAUUCUGUCAGUCCUUCUCCAUUUGUCGCCUGUCACCGGGGCCUUUUGGGCUGAAAUGUUCUCCUCACUCUACUCCGACACCUACUUGAGUCUGACUGAGCUGGCCGCUGUCGUGCACCUCCUGGCGGUCCUGCGACACGCGAUGCGGCCCAAUGAGUGCUUGAAGAAAAUCGCCAUGGUUGUGCAGCAACGGAUACACGCGCAAGCAAAUGCAAAGCACGAUGUCCAAGGGGCCAUUUAUCAAUCUUCUGUGACGUCGCUGAAUGACAUCUUGACACAAUGGGAAGUUUGAGAAAAAACAAACAAAUGGCAAGAACGGUGUUGGGUUGGUGCUUAAGACUACACGACAUACUAUUUCAUUGUUUUCAGCCAUUUUAGGUUCCUCCUUCGCCAGCCUCCCCCGCCCGAAUCAAGCGAGCAGCAUGCUCUUCUAGCUCCGGCGAUUCCUCCCGGGCCGCUCCCACCUGGUGUCGGCCGCAGUC